rnacentral:lncRNA from 13 species
AAAAGGAAUAAUUCCAGCCAGACCUCAAGAAGAAAAAAAUUCUUCUAAAACUACAUUUCUAUGUUCAGCUACCAUAAUAUUUAAACCAAAAAGGGAUGACUCAUUUUGAUCUAGAUUUGCAUAACAAGGAGCCAUAUAAUAGCAAUACCUUUAUCAGCAAUUGUAGUGGCCAUAGAAUUACCAAUUUCUACACCUUGUAUUUCUGAUAUCUCCUCUGGCAUAGCACUGAAAAACUCAAAGAUUUUUGUCACCUAGUUUUUAUCAAUAUCCCCUGUUUCUUCCCAAUUAAAAUCAGUACUUUUCUAUUCUGCCAUUCUAAAGCAUGACUUAACCACAAGAGUGCUUCUGUAGGCUAUCUGCAGGAUUUGGCUUAGAUUAUACAGCAUUGGCCCUUUCUAAAUGCCUCUUGAUAGGAGCAAGUUAUCUAUUGCUGAAUAACAAAUGACCCCACAAUUUAACAGCUUAAAACAACAAACAUUUGUUACCUCACAGUUGCUGUGAAUCAGUAAUCUAGGUAUGGCUUAGCUGAGUCCUCACAAGGCUACAGUCAGCCAACUGGGGGAGGAUUCAUUUACAAACUCACUCCUAGGGUUGUGAGCAGGAUUCAAUUCCCUGUGGGCUUCUGGCCCCAGACCUCCCCUCAGUUCUUUACCACAGGAGCCUCAGCCUGGGGCAGCUCACAACAGAGCAGCUAGCUUCAUCAACAGAGCAAGCCAAGGAGCGUGAGAGAGUAAACAAGACAAAUGCCAAUCUUUUUUGUAAUCUAAUCUCACAAGUAACAUCCAUCAUUUUUGCUGUACUCUGUUUCUCAGAAGCAAGUAACCAGGUUUAGCCCAAGCUCAAGUGGUGGAGAUUACACAAGGGCAUGAACACGAAGGGGUGAGGAUCAUUAAACCCAGCUUAGAAGCUGCCUACCACAAAUAUGUUAAUAUACUGCUUGCACUCUAAGUUCUCCUUUUCAAGGGCUUCAAGUUCAGUUUCUAAGACAAAAAGCAUGGGAAAAGCCAGCCACUAUGCCGCAAAGAAACUUGAACCAGACUACGGAAUGAUGAGAGGCCACAUGAAGAAGGUUAUCAACACAAGCCACUGAACUCAAGGUUGGGAAUAGAUGUGCACAACUAGCUCUUCUGAGCCAAUGGGAAAUGAAUAAGUUGUUACAUUAAAUAGGCAACGGAGGCAACGUCCAUGUACAAAUCUUCCUAUGCCUGAAAAUCUAGCAAUACUAGUUCUAGGUCAAGGAUAAACCCUUUUUGACAUACAACUGUAGCCUCAUCCCAGAACAAACCACAACCCACUUCCUGUUGCAUGCAGAUACAGAUACCUUAAAGGGAGAGUUUGUAUCAAGGACCUGUGCAGGAUGCUAAGAUUGCAACAGAGCGCACUCUGGUGUACAAAGCUGGGAGCCAGGAUGGGAGGAGAUCGCGAGAAGCAGUGCUUUGCCCAAGUUUGAAGUUGAUUUGUCCAGCUCUAAGAAGUUAUUGUAAGUUACUAGGGUUGAAGCAGAAAUCUCAUUGAGAAGAGUUUCCGGAAACUUCUAUUCGGUUUCUAAAGGAAAUAUAUACAUUUUGUUGUAAACACCUA